GGCUCGGUAGCUCAGUCGGUAGAGCAGAGGCCUGAAAAGCCUUGUGUCGAUGGUUCAAUUCCGUCCCGAGCCACCA
rnacentral:tRNA from 1 species